GGCCUAGGCGGGUCAGCGACCGCCGCCCGGGGAAGGCGGACGGCGGACGGCGGCCGCCCCCCUUCCCUUCCCUUCCCCUCCCGGCCUCGCACAAUGCGGCGGGCACGGCGCGGCCGACCGGAGCAGGCCCCGGCCCCGUCGCUUCCUUCCCCCAACCCUUCCCAGCCGGGGGAGCGGGUCACUUACAUGGCUGGAGCCCGGGGAGGAGUGCCAUAAACACCAACUGGGCUGCAAGAACUGAUGGGGUUUCUUCAGAAAUGUGGGAUCACCAAUGACUGCAUUUCUGCACUCGGAAGCUAGCUGGACCUGAGAAAACAGCACAUCUUCCCACAGCUUUGCACUGUUAACAACACAAAGGUGCAUAAAACUCAUUACAGUGGUAAAGCUGGGGACUACGACUCUGCCUUUUCACGGCCAGGUCUGCCUAAUCGUAUCUGUCACAAGGGUUCCCAAGCGUCAAAUGGAUGGCUGGAUUUUGGGUAUACCAGUGUGCUACAGGAGCCAACGCUGGGAGAGAGGAGAAGAGGCUUCACUCUUCUUCGUGGUGGAGGGAUAAAGGCUGAGACUGCCUUUCCCACCAAGGAACAGCCCUUCCUGCUACACCAGCAUUGUAUUUUUUGUGGUUCACCUUUAGGUUUACUGUGGCAUAUUUCAGCACAGUUUUAAAAAUGUACCAUUCAGGCAUUAGCAGAAUAAGCAAACCCCGUGGUACAGGCUCAGUUACCUCGUUUAGUGUCAGAUCUUCAUCUGCUGCAGUCAGUGGAAAGAUUUCUGCUGAUAGCGGGGCAGAAUGAAAUGGCUGUGAGAGGUCUCUAAGAUGCAAAGGCCGAGGAAAGGAAAAACCUGGGUUUGUGAUUGCAUUUCGACCCACUGUGCAUUAUGUACAGAAUAUCCAGUGUAGAUUAAAAUGGAGGUAGACAUUAAAGAUAUAUUGACAAUUAAAUUAAUCGACAGUAUGCAAAUCUUGCAGGCAGCUCAGAGGACAUGUACCAAACUUCACAAAAACAAGAAGGAAAUUCAUUUAGGAGCUAAUGUUGAGUCUUCAGACUGCAGCUACACCUAGCAAUAAAGAGCAUGUGUGAGUACAGGAGUUCACUGGUUGUAAGACACUUCUGUCCAGGCAGGGGGAUCUCUGGUAAUAUAUCUGAUUGCAGGAGAGCUUUCUUGCUUUCCUGCCAAAUCCUGUCCUGAUUGAUAAGUUCCCAGGCGGCGUGGUGAGCAAGGUCAUUAGGACUUCCCCUUGCAAAUGAAGCAGCAGUUUAAAAAAUAAAGCUAUACAGUAAACAGUUUUCCAUCCUGAAGAGAACAAAAUAAACCUCUGUUGUUUGCUAGAAAGGAAGUACAAUUAAAAAACCCCAAAAUUUCAACACGAACAGAUUGUUUAGAUUUGCCGACUGUUGAUUUACCAUGAUGAAAGACAGGCCCAAACUAGAAAGUUUGGAUCCCGAUCUGGACCUGACAUGCCCCAGAUUUGAGGGGAAAGUGCAAUUUAGAUUCUGGAGUAAGGGCUUAUCUUUCAAACACAGCAAAGUACUGUGGAUAAAAAUACCCAGGUAAAGUAGGAAGUGCCUGGUCUGCAACAACAAAUGUGACUUUGUAUUAACAAUGAACAAAAGCAGCAUUUUUUUUUCCUUUGAGAACAAUGAAAUCACUCAAGAAUUGUUAUAAAUGCAAACAAUGUGGGUUUUAUCACUUAGUUAUCAUCAAUAGGAUUAUAGUCUAUAAACCCUAAUUUUCAGGGAAGUCCCUAGAUUUCCCAGAGCGCUUCCUCAAAUUUCAUAUGUGUUGAUUCCAGGUUAUUAAGUGCUUCAGAAUAAGGGGCAUCAAUUGUUCCUUAGAUUUAUAUUACCUGAAAAUACUGAACACAGGGGUUUAGUGGCAAAGAAUGAUUGAUUGCCAAACAGUGUAUUGAUACCACAGCAGGAGAGCAGGCACUCCCGUUCUCAUCCAUUUUUAACAUAUAUAUAGGUAAGUAACAUGUAAUUCAAUGUAACUUCUUGAAGUUAUUUUAAAACAUUGAAAUUCUGCAGCUUUGGAUAAAAAUGUUCUUUAUCCAGUCAAGCAUAAGAAGAAAGACUAGCAUGUUAAGAUGAAGUGGAAUUAUUGAGUUGAACCCCAGUAGGACAAGUUCUGUUCCAUGACUGCAAGUAAUGACAGCAUUUUUAUGGGCCAACAGUGAGUUUCUUCCUCCCUUUUUAAAAGGUGGGCUGUACUCAAAGGUACUCAAAGGAAGAGACUAUAUGACAUCCUGUUAGAAUUACAGAGCUAGUAUCUCAGUCUAGGCAUUAAUAGCUUUUAAACAAACAACUCAGGUUUGGUCUCAGACAAAAAUAUAGCUCAAUAAAAAUACAUAUUAAAAGUGCAUUUCACAGCACCAAAUAUAAUGAACACAAGUUAUGCUUCUAAAAUUGAACGAAUCCAGUGUUUGAAGGUUUAUUUCUCAAUAGCAAAACAAUAACAGGCUAUCUGGAAAAAAUAAUAAAUAUAGUCAUACUGAAACAUUGUAGUUUUACUUUUUAGAAAUUAAUUUUGUGAAUCAAUAGUUGUAUGAUUAUGUUUGUAAUUACCCAACGAAUUUCCUACAAGAAUAAGCAUCAGCUAAACUGGUAACACGAAGAGCAGUGAGCUGAAUGAUGCCUGUUUGCUGAAGCAUUUUUGGGGAGCUCUUCUUCCCAAUGGCUUGCUAAAGGCCUUGGCAGAGGUCAGGCAGGAGACCUAGGUUUGGUUUCCAGCUUCUGUUCCUGGUCACCAGGAUGCUAAAGCUGGGCAGCCCCGGGGUGGCAGUCUGCUUUCUGCAGCUGGAGUGGGAGGAAGAAGGCACGUUUCGCAUUUACAGUCCAGCAGAGCUGUUCUGGCUGGGUCACAAAUGCUGCUGACAAACUCCACGGUGCGAGCAGCACAGCCCCCUUCACCAGGAAUAAGCAUAGCCAUGACAAGGGGCAGCAAACACGCUCUGGAGAAUUUGGUAUAUAAACAGGAACUGCAUUAGUUUGCAUAGAAAAUGCGCUAGUUAGAUAUAGAACAUAUAAAAAUAGCAAAUAUAUCAGUUCUGUCCCAUAUACCACUGCAGUUGCUUUUGUUGUUACAGUACUAACCACAAGCCCCAGUCUGAACCAGGCAGCAUUAGCACUGUAGAGACACAUCAUAAGCCAUGGUCUUUGAUCUGAAGGACUGAAGUCUGCUUCAAACCGCUGCAUUGCUUAUAAAGUAACAUGUCAGGAGUUCUUAGUUCAGGGAAGAUACCUGAAAAUGCUGAAAUUUCAAUGAUCUGUGGGAGGAAACAUCAUGCUCUUAACCACAGUCAGAAAGGCAAAUCCUCUGAGACUGAAAUGCUGAAGGUAUAGACAUACAUUAAAAGAAAAAUAAAAACUUGUCAGGUUCCUGUUGCUUUCCCAACUCUCACACACCCAACCCUGAUUCUGCUAUUAACCCAAAAUUAUGGAGUUGAAUACAAUGUGGGCAUAUUCCUUUGGAUGCAGUUGCAGUGGCUGAUCACCCCUGCAAGUCCUCACGUGGAAACGUGGAAGGAGCAGCAGCCAUGCUGCGGGAUGUGGACACUGGCACAGCCAUGGGUUCUUGGGGCCCUGGUCCUCCUGCAUUGAGCUCCAGGGGAAAGCCAGUGCAGAGCAGGUCAUCUUCCUCAUGAUACGUGCAGUUUUCCUAGAGAUCAAGAGCUGUAAUCGAGCUGUUAAGGUUUGAGGCAUCAUGGUGACAGGGGCUUCCUAGAUCCUUUAAAAUGUCAUACAUAUGACAUUUAUCCAGUGGACUGGCAGGGGCUUUUAUUGUUUGCAUGUUAACGCUAGAGGAGAAGGGAUUGCUUUUAAUUUCUUCAGUGCAUUCUUAAUGGCAUCUGCAUGCACGUGAAGAUCUGCUGUCCUUUGGAUCACUUCAAAAUUGUAUCCUUUGGAAACUUUUAAGGGCAGAAGUGAUCAUUUCAGCAUCGUUCUGGUCUGACCCUCUGGCUACUUCAGACAUAAAAUUGCACUUAGUGAUGUCUUCAUCUGUAUUCACAUCUCAUAGGUAAGAGAUGACACUACCAUGAAUAAAAACAGGAAAAGCGAAGAAAGAAAUUCCUAUCUUUGGUGCACUCUUUACUUCAGAGCCCUGUUGUGUACUUGUUUCUACAGCCACGCUGAUCAGACACCAAAUAAAAUGCAACAGCUUAUGGAGGAAAAAACCCAGAUGAGUUUCUGCUUAUUUAUCACACAAGAAGCACUUCUACGAAA